AACGAACGCUGGCGGCAUGCCUAACACAUGCAAGUCGAACGAGACCUUCGGGUCUAGUGGCGCACGGGUGCGUAACGCGUGGGAAUCUGCCUAAAGGUUCGGAAUAACAGUUAGAAAUGACUGCUAAUACCGGAUGAUGUCUUCGGACCAAAGAUUUAUCGCCUUUAGAUGAGCCCGCGUAGGAUUAGCUAGUUGGUGGGGUAAAGGCCUACCAAGGCGACGAUCCUUAGCUGGUCUGAGAGGAUGAUCAGCCACACUGGGACUGAGACACGGCCCAGACUCCUACGGGAGGCAGCAGUGGGGAAUAUUGGACAAUGGGCGAAAGCUUGAUCCAGCAAUGCCGCGUGAGUGAUGAAGGCCUUAGGGUUGUAAAGCUCUUUUACCCGGGAUGAUAAUGACAGUACCGGGAGAAUAAGCCCCGGCUAACUCCGUGCCAGCCGCCGCAGUAACAC
rnacentral:rRNA from 1 species